rnacentral:rRNA from 1 species
GUCGAGUGACACUGCGCCGAAAAUGUACCGGGGCUAAACAUAUUACCGAAGCUGUGGAUUGUCCUUUGGACAAUGGUAGGAGAGCGUUCUAAGGGCGUUGAAGCAUGAUCGUAAGGACAUGUGGAGUGCUUAGAAGUGAGAAUGCCGGUGUGAGUAGCGAAAGACGGGUGAGAAUCCCGUCCACCGAUUGACUAAGGUUUCCAGAGGAAGGCUCGUCCGCUCUGGGUUAGUCGGGUCCUAAGCUGAGGCCGACAGGCGUAGGCGAUGGAUAACAGGUUGAUAUUCCUGUACCACCUAUAAUCGUUUUAAUCGAUGGGGGGGACGCAGUAGGAUAGGCGAAGCGUGCGAUUGGAUUGCACGUCUAAGCAGUAAGGCUGAGUAUUAGGCAAAUCCGGUACUCGUUAAGGCUGAGCUGUGAUGGGGAGAAGACAUUGUGUCUUCGAGUCGUUGAUUUCACACUGCCGAGAAAAGCCUCUAGAUAGAAAAUAGGUGCCCGUACCGCAAACCGACACAGGUAGUCAAGAUGAGAAUUCUAAGGUGAGCGAGCGAACUCUCGUUAAGGAACUCGGCAAAAUGACCCCGUAACUUCGGGAGAAGGGGUGCUCUUUAGGGUUAACGCCCAGAAGAGCCGCAGUGAAUAGGCCCAAGCGACUGUUUAUCAAAAACACAGGUCUCUGCUAAACCGUAAGGUGAUGUAUAGGGGCUGACGCCUGCCCGGUGCUGGAAGGUUAAGAGGAGUGGUUAGCUUCUGCGAAGCUACGAAUCGAAGCCCCAGUAAACGGCGGCCGUAACUAUAACGGUCCUAAGGUAGCGAAAUUCCUUGUCGGGUAAGUUCCGACCCGCACGAAAGGCGUAACGAUUUGGGCACUGUCUCAACGAGAGACUCGGUGAAAUCAUAGUACCUGUGAAGAUGCAGGUUACCCGCGACAGGACGGAAAGACCCCGUGGAGCUUUACUGUAGCCUGAUAUUGAAAUUCGGCACAGCUUGUACAGGAUAGGUAGGAGCCUUUGAAACGUGAGCGCUAGCUUACGUGGAGGCGCUGGUGGGAUACUACCCUAGCUGUGUUGGCUUUCUAACCCGCACCACUUAUCGUGGUGGGAGACAGUGUCAGGCGGGCAGUUUGACUGGGGCGGUCGCCUCCUAAAAGGUAACGGAGGCGCUCAAAGGUUCCCUCAGAAUGGUUGGAAAUCAUUCAUAGAGUGUAAAGGCAUAAGGGAGCUUGACUGCGAGACCUACAAGUCGAGCAGGGUCGAAAGACGGACUUAGUGAUCCGGUGGUUCCGCAUGGAAGGGCCAUCGCUCAACGGAUAAAAGCUACCCCGGGGAUAACAGGCUUAUCUCCCCCAAGAGUUCACAUCGACGGGGAGGUUUGGCACCUCGAUGUCGGCUCAUCGCAUCCUGGGGCUGUAGUCGGUCCCAAGGGUUGGGCUGUUCGCCCAUUAAAGCGGUACGCGAGCUGGGUUCAGAACGUCGUGAGACAGUUCGGUCCCUAUCCGUCGUGGGCGUAGGAAAUUUGAGAGGAGCUGUCCUUAGUACGAGAGGACCGGGAUGGACAUACCUCUGGUGUACCAGUUGUCGUGCCAACGGCAUAGCUGGGUAGCUAUGUGUGGACGGGAUAAGUGCUGAAAGCAUCUAAGCAUGAAGCCCCCCUCAAGAUGAGAUUUCCCAACUUCGGUUAUAAGAUCCCUCAAAGAUGAUGAGGUUAAUAGGUUCGAGGUGGAAGCAUGGUGACAUGUGGAGCUGACGAAUACUAAUCGAUCGAAGACUUAAUCAAAA